rnacentral:rRNA from 1 species
AUUGAACGUUGGCGGCAGGCCUAAAACAUGCAAGUCGAACGAGAAAGCCCUUCGGGGUGAGUACAGUGGCGGACGGGUGAGUAACACGUAGGAAUCUACCCAGUAGCGGGGGAUAACCCGGGGAAACUCGGGCUAAUACCGCAUACGCUCUACGGAGGAAAGAGGGCCUCUACUUGUAAGCUCUCACUAUUGGAGGAGCCUGCGUUGGAUUAGCUUGUUGGUGAGGUAAUGGCUCACCAAGGCGACGAUCCAUAGCUGGUCCGAGAGGACGAUCAGCCACACCGGAACUGAGACACGGUCCGGACUCCUACGGGAGGCAGCAGUUAGGAAUCUUGGGCAAUGGGCGCAAGCCUGACCCAGCCAUGCCGCGUGUGUGAAGAAGGCCUUCGGGUUGUAAAGCACUUUCAGUGGUGAAGAAAAGCCUGGAGCUAAUACCUCCGGGUCUUGACGUUAGCCACAGAAGAAGCACCGGCUAACUCCGUGCCAGCAGCCGCGGUAAUACGGAGGGUGCGAACGUUAAUCGGAAUUACUGGGCGUAAAGCGCGCGUAGGCGGUUCGAUAAGUGGGAUGUGAAAGCCCCGGGCUCAACCUGGGAAUUGCCUUCCAAACUGUCGGGCUAGAGUGUGGUAGAGGGAGGUGGAAUUUCCUGUGUAGCGGUGAAAUGCGUAGAUAUAGGAAGGAACACCAGUGGCGAAGGCGGCCUCCUGGACCAACACUGACGCUGAGGUGCGAAAGCGUGGGGAGCAAACAGGAUUAGAUACCCUGGUAGUCCACGCCGUAAACGAUGAGAACUAGCCGUUGGGGCCCUCGAGGUCUUAGUGGCGAAGCUAACGCGAUAAGUUCUCCGCCUGGGGAGUACGGCCGCAAGGUUAAAACUCAAAUGAAUUGACGGGGGCCCGCACAAGCGGUGGAGCAUGUUGUUUAAUUCGAUGCAACGCGAAGAACCUUACCACCCCUUGACAUCCUCGGAACCUCCCAGAGAUGGGAGGGUGCCUUCGGGAACCGAGUGACAGGUGCUGCAUGGCUGUCGUCAGCUCGUGUCGUGAGAUGUUGGGUUAAGUCCCGUAACGAGCGCAACCCUCGUCCUUAAUUGCCAGCGGGUCAUGCCGGGAACUUUAAGGAGACUGCCGGUGACAAACCGGAGGAAGGUGGGGAUGAGGUCAAGUCAUCAUGGCCCUUACGGGGUGGGCUACAAACGUGCUACAAUGGCGCGCACAAAGGGCUGCAAACCCGCGAGGGGGAGCGAAUCCCAAAAAACGCGUCGUAGUCCGGAUCGGAGUCUGCAACUCGACUCCGUGAAGUCGGAAUCGCUAGUAAUCGUGAAUCAGAAUGUCACGGUGAAUACGUUCCCGGGCCUUGUACACACCGCCC